GGCUGAAAUUCGCCUUCCAUGAAGCUGGAAUUGCUAGUAAUGGCAGGUCAGCAUACUGCCGUGAAUACGUUCCCGGGCCCUUGUACACACCGCCCGUCACACCAUGAGAGUUGGAAAUACCCGAAGCCUGUGAGCUAACAAACGAGGCAGCAGUCGAAGGGUAGAGCCAAUGAUUGGGGUGAAGUCGUAACAAGGUAUC
rnacentral:rRNA from 1 species